AAUAUCAACAUCAACAAAUACGAAAACCUCACUUCAUUUCUAAAAACACAGUCAAAAGGAUUUCAGUCCAAAAAGCGAACACUUUGACGCCGGAACAAAUUAAAAAGUUUCUCGAUGAAGCACCAGAUCAAACACACUUAGCGACAAAGCUCGCUACUAUCUUUGGAAUAUGUGGAGCAUGCAGAAGA